rnacentral:rRNA from 1 species
GUAGGUGGCAAGCGUUGUCCGGAAUUAUUGGGCGUAAAGCGCGCGCAGGCGGUCCUUUAAGUCUGAUGUGAAAGCCCACGGCUCAACCGUGGAGGGUCAUUGGAAACUGGGGGACUUGAGUACAGAAGAGGAAAGCGGAAUUCCAAGUGUAGCGGUGAAAUGCGUAGAGAUUUGGAGGAACACCAGUGGCGAAGGCGGCUUUCUGGUCUGUAACUGACGCUGAGGCGCGAAAGCGUGGGGAGCAAACAGGAUUAGAUACCCUGGUAGUCCACGCCGUAAACGAUGAGUGCUAAGUGUUAGAGGGUUUCCCGCCCCUUAGUGCUGCAGCUAACGCAUUAAGCACUCCGCCUGAGGAGUACGGCCGCAAGGCUG